CAGUUCUCCAGGACGCGCGCGGGCGCGGGGGGCGGCGCUCCUUGGGCUGCUGCGCCUCCACAGAGCCGCCUGGGUGUGAGGACCUCGCGCCGGCGCCUCCGGGAAGGACGCGGAGCCGCCGCGGCCGAGCCCAGGGCUGCAGCUGCUGCCCGACGCCCGCGGGAAGGCCCUUCCGCCACCGCCCGCGGGUUCGAACUUGGAGCAGCUGCUGCCAGCUGAGGCGCCAGCGGCGUCCGGAGCUCCUCAGAGUGAGUGUUUUGUGCUGGAUUCAGCAUGUCCUCUGACAACUCGGGAAUUUGUCACUGACAUGGUGACAGGAGGGGUCCUGUCCCAGGUGCAGCUACAGCAGUGGGGCGCAGGACUGGUGAAGCCUUCGGAGACCCUGUCUCUCACCUGCGCUGUCUAUGGUGGGUCCUUCAGUGAUUACUACUGGGGCUGGGUCCGCCAGCCCCCAGGGAAGGGCCUGGAGUGGAUUGGGCAUAUCAAUUAUGGUGGGAGCACCAACUACAACCCGUCCCUCAAGAGUCGAGUUACCAUAUCAGUAGACAAGUCCAAGAACCAGUUCUCCCUGAAGCUGAGCUCUGUGACCGCCGCGGACACGGCUGUGUAUUACUGUGCGAGAGGCACAGUGAGGGGAGAAGAGGAAGAGACACCAGAGACCUCUCACUUUUCACGUGCACACAGAGAAGAGGCCAUGUGGAGACGUAGUGCACUAGAAGGUGGCCCUGUGCAAGCCAGGAAGAAGCCAUACUAAGAACCAAUUUUGCCAGCUCCUUGAUCUUCGACAUUCAGACUAGAAUUGUUAAGAAAAUCAAUAUUUGUUGUUUAAGCCACCCAAUCCUGUUGUCUUCUUACGAAGACCCAAACUGACUAAUACCACCUAACUCUGUUAGCUCUGUCUCCUGAAGGGAGAAGCAGCCCCCUGAGGCUGGGCACUGCAUCUCUCAGAUUUCCACGUGAAGUAGGCAAAAAUAGUAGUUCUCAUAUAAAAAUGUGUCAUGGCUCUGUUGGCCAUUUUUGAGCAUGGUCUCUGAAACCAGCCCUGGUGUGUGUGUGUAACAAAUGUCUCUUAUCUUUUAUCUGGACAUAACAAAUAGACGAUAGGUAUCAGCUGGAUGGAGAUUGGCCACUGAUCAUCUUCUGUUCUCCUUAGUAUGUCACAGAAAACCACACCAACAUCACCAGCAUCACUGUUUUUCUUCUACCACCUCAAACGGACUACAGAAAUGAUCCCUGCAGUAUAGUCUAUUUCUUCAGCUUUCGAAAUUUGCACUGAAUCUCUUCCUAAAUGGGGAGCUACAUGGGGUCUGAGUUUUGUUCCUUUCUUCCCAGUCUUCCCCAAGUACCAAGGACAGAAUAGACUUAAAAUAAAAUUUGGCCAUCAAUGCCCCCAAACACCACAUCACUUUCUAAAAUCCACAUCCUGCAUCCAUCCUUCUCUGGACACCCCUCAUCAGGCUACCCAGGAAUGGCCAGAAGAUGGUAUCAGCUUAUGGGCUGAGGCCACGAGUUAUACACACGUGUGAUUUCAGUCACACACACUCUACUGCAGGACCACACCUGUGUUCUGAGGAGCUCAGGCAUCUGCUGAUCUCAGUAAUUCUCUAAUAAAUCACACACCUCUUAUUAAUAAAGGUCCAGAUGGCCCCAUCAGCUGCAGAGCAGUGGAGUAAAGCUCAUGGGUGGGUCCAUCAGGCAGAAGUCAGACAAUGGAAGGGAUGGCUGGUCACUUCCAUUUUCACUGAUGUUCCCAAUGAAUUUUAAUGGAAUAAAACAAUAUUAACUACAAAGAGACAGAAAAGAAGACUGGCUCGUCAAGGUAUUUAAGGACAAGUAACUUUAUUUGGGGGGAAAGUGAAAGACACUUCUAAAUGGAAAUCCCUAAAGCACAUACAGCAGCUGACAGAGUGGCCACUGUGCACAUGAGGGCUGAGGAGACGGAUGGUAGAGCCCAUUCCUGCAAGAUGUCCCUGGGUGUGUGAUGGUUAGACUCCUCAUGCAUAUGAAUAUAAGAGCUGGACUCAGGGAGAAAAAAGAGCCAUAUCCCAUAGGAAAGGAAGAAAAAAAAAACAGAUGGGCACCCCUGGAGAGAGCUCAUUAGAUUUGGUGUGUUUAAGAUGAAAAUUUCUUCCAAAAAUUGUAAUGUUCUAAGCUAAAUAUGAAUCUCUUCAAUAAACUGAGAAUUAACAGGAGAAUGGAGCUAGGACUUGAGAGAGGAAACAAAUCAUGAGAGAGCAGAAAGCAAACCCACAAAAACUGUCACAUGACAGAGGUCAGAAAGGAGCUGAUGUAGCUACUUCACUAUUCUGCAGACUUAUUGACCAUGUGGAGAAGGGGCUUGAACAAAUGGGGACGUUCUCCAACCUUCUGAAUCAGCCUCCUUCUUAUGCAUGAGUAGAAAUCAGUUCUGGGGGUGACCUUCCCAAUUUUCCUGUCCAUACCUCUUCCCCCAGGGGUAGAGUGUCUUCCCAACCACAAUGGUUUCUCACCAGUGUCCUCAGCUUCUCCUCCAUUGAACUUACCCUGCAGAUUAAGAAUUUCUUCUAGAUGGAGUUCUUUGGGAAUUUUCUGUUUUCUUUAGUUUCUGUUGACUCCACCACACCCCCAUAGGAUGCAGGUUUUAGUGGAUUUCCCCUGGAAAUAGUGGAGGUGGAUCCAGGCGUUCAACAGUCCUCGCUGUUCUUCCCUUCCUGUCAGCACCACAGGAGAGCAGAUAAGGGAGUUGACUGUGGAUUUUUCAAAUUCCUGGGAAAAGCCUGCAAGGACUAGUAGAUUCACACUCUAAUACCAUUAUCACAUGUAUCCAAAAAGAAACCUCACUAAAUAUUUCCAGUUUAGCCUGUUCCUCUCUCAAUGCCAUCCAGUGGCACCUGCCCUGGGUUCACCAACAUGUGGGCCCCAGUCCUCUCUGCUGGCAUCUCUCUCCUCACAUUUCAGUCUUCUCGUUAGCUCUGUGAAAGCAACUCAGAUAUGUUAAAAGGUUUUCUUCUUCAUUUAUUCAGUGUUUCAGGUUUAUUGUUAAGGAGGUCAGAAUAAGACCAUAGUUUUCUCAUUUUUCACAUUCCUACACUGAGUAGCCACUUUCUAUAUAAAAGCCAGAAACUAAGGGAACAAAUCAAAUAUCCAUGUCAACUGAACGUUAAACAAUUUGACAUAUGAUUAUGGACCAAAGUACAAUGCAGAAUUAGAAUCAAGGCAUCCUCAUUCUCAUAAAAGCAUGUCUACAUUCUCAAAUAACUCUGCUGAUUGAAAGCUGAAGAAUUAAGAGUGCACUUCAUAAACUUCCAAUUGUAUAAACUGCAGAAGGUACAACUAUUCUAAAGUAACAGAGCAGAUUUGAAAUUUGGGAGAAAUGGGUGUUGAAAGUAAUUGGGUGGUCAGAUGAAAUUACAGAGAAGUGACAGAAAGAUUUAGGGGUUAACUUAAUUGUACACAACCUGAUUAAAGUUUGCACACAUACGUUACCAUUUUCCAAAUGGUGCAGUGUAGAUUUGAAUUAAUUAUUAAUUGAAAUUAAAUAAAGCAGUAACAAAGAAACAAAUGAAUAUGUUGGUUGAGGAGGAGCAAAAAAUAGAUGGGUAUGAACACUCAAAACAUCUCAGACUCUUGAAAGUACACAUGCUUGAACACUGGUUUUCUCUGUAUAUUUUAGGUAAAGAGCAGAAUACAUUAAAAGAAAACAGAGAUGUCCUGGCAGGGGUGGAAUCCUGCAAACCUCACUAGGCGUGUCCCACACUGCCCUGGAGUUGUCUCAGGGGAGCAGUCUCCUCUAGUGGUCAGAGACACAGGCAUGGAUAAUGGGGCUAAUACUGUCCAGCUGUGUGACCUUGAACACAUUGUAUAAACACUAUUCCGUAUGUAAUUUAUCUUCCUUAAAAUGUAACAUUGACACUUGCAUUAAAUGUAUUCUACAAAUAUGUCAAAAAGAUGAUGACUGCUAAAUGAUUAUCAAGGCACAAUCAUAUAAUAUAAUGAUAUUUUCCUGAGUGAUAAGAUGACUACCAAUCUCCCCCAGGGCACUUUGUCUGCUCUGAGCCCUGCCCCUCCUCAGGAUUCCCAUCCCAGAGCUUGCUAUACAGUAGGAGACAUGCAAAUAGGUUUCUCCCUCUGCUGAUGAAAACCAGCCCAGUCCUGACCCCACAGCUCUGGGAGAGAAGCGCCAGCCCUGGGAUUCCCAGGGGUUUCUAUUUGGUGAUCAGGACUAAAGACAGAGGACCCACCAUGGAGCUUGGGCUGAGCUGGGUUGUCACUGUUGCUGUUUUAAAAGGUGAACUAGAGAGAUUGAGUGUGAGUGGAUACCCUUGAGAGAAAUGGUGGAUUAUGUCUGGGAGUUUCUGACCAGGAUGUCUACGAGUUUGCAGGUGUCCAGUGAGAGGUACAGCUCGUGGAGUCCGGAGAGGACCCAAGACAACCUGGGGGAUCCCUGAGACUCUCCUGUGCAGACUCUGGAUUAACCUUCAGUAGCUACUGAAUGAGCUCGGUUUCCCAGGCUCCAGGGAAGGGGCUGGAGUGAGUAGUAGAUAUAUAGGAUGAUGGAAGUCAGAUAUGUUAUGCAUAAUCUGUGAAGAGCAGAUUCACAAUCUCCAAAGAAAAUGCCAAGAACUCACUGUAUUUGCAAAUGAACAGUCUGAGAGCAGAGGGCACAGCUGUGUGUUACUGUAUGUGAGGCACCAGGUAGGAAGACAUCAGUGUGAACACAGACACAGAGUUUCCUGCAAUGAUAAGGGAGGAGGCUGGGCUAAAAGGGGCACUCAGGACCCACAGAAAACAGGGGCAGCUCUAGGGCAGGUGGUUGUCAUGGGCUGCUUUCCUUCAGGGUCUGUGGCCUCCUCUGCAUCUACCAGUUCCCCUCGGAGCCUCUCGACAUUUAUGUUUCUGUGGCCACCCCUGACAUCUCUGGAUUAGAAAAGUUUAUUGUAGGAAGAGGAAACAUUCUCAUUUGUCCCAAAGCAGAUGUAAGUAAUGGAAGCAAAAAAUGCACAGGAGGCCAGGCGGGGCUGUAGAUACUGUCACCCCAGAAUGUCAAUCUCACCACUAGUACUGGAGAGGGAUGGGAGUUUGAUGGAGCUUCCCUAACAACCCUGUGGUCCAAGAUAAGUCCAGCAAGACCAUUGGUGCCUCCCAGAGCACAGUUGUCCAUCAGGGAUGCCCAAUGCGUCCCAUCAGCAGCCAUGCCUCAGUGUCUCCACUGUGCACAGCCACUGUCUGGGAGGAGCUCCCAGGAUGGGUGUCUUUGGCACACACCAGGUGGCGGGUGUUAAGAGUGCAGUGCAGCAGCUGGCUGCCUGUUCUAUUGGGCUCCCUGAUGCUGGAGAGAUGGGAGGUGCAUUCUCAGGGCCAGCACCCUGUUUGUGAAUUUUUAUAUAAAAACCCUGAUUUUACUUCAUUUUCUUGGAGGACAUAGAUAACUAAAAACAGAAUCUGCAAAGAAAUUGUAAUUUUCAACUUUACCCCAAAUUCAUUGUUUCUUAAUUCUGUGCAAGAUCCAGACAUAUGAUUGCCUUCCUCAUGAUAAUUUAUUCUAUGUAAAACCGAAAUCAUUUUUUCUCCUAUUCUUUGUUUCUGUUCAAGUACAGAGAUCUUGAGCAAAGUAAGUUGGGUUCUUUCCACACUCUAACCCUCACCUUCCCCAGAGAAUGAGCAGAGAUUGUCCUCACUCUGAGUCUAAGGGAGGAGCUGUUUCUGCACAACUCAGAGCCUGCAGAGACCCCCCAGGUGCAGCUUCAGUGAGUCAGACAUUUCUCCAUGUGGGCGACCUCCAGUGCCUGUGACUGCUGCUCAGGCCUAAUUGUUGGUUAAGCAUUAGGACACUCUUUAGGUGAUCACAUCUCAAGCCUAUUCUGAAAAUCACCAUGAACAGAGAUAGUUCAAUGGCCAUUCUCCUGACAUAAGUUUCUCUUUAUUACUUGGUUAAAAGUAUGGAGAAAAAUGUGAGCCUAUAUUUGUCUGAAUCCAACAUCAGAAUCCACUGCAUUACGCUAGGAGACUCACUAAUUGAGCACAAGUGAGCUCGUUAUUCUCAUAGAAAUGUCAGUAUUUGGAAAUUUCAGCGUGUUCUCCAGAACCUGUGCCUGCCAACAACUGUGUUUCUCAGUGCACUCUUGGCCUGGUGAAGCCUUCACAGACCCUCUCCCUCACCUGUGCCAUCUCUGAUUCUCCAUCACAACCAGUGUUUCCUUCUGGAGCUGCAUCCAUCAGCGCCCCCAUGGGAGGUACUGGAGUGGAUCGGGUGCAUAGGUCAUGGAGGGAGCACAGAUUACUCCCCUCUUCUGAAGAGUCCAGUCACCAUCUCCAGAUCCAUGUCCAAAAAGUAGUUCUUCUUACAGCUGAACUAUGUGAGCAACAAACACAUAGCCAUGUAUUUUAGAGCAAAAGACACAGUGAGGAAACCACAGUGUGAACUCAUAUCCAAGCCUCCCUGUGGGGGUGCAUAGGACGGCCAGGGUUACUCAGGACACCAGGGUCCCUUAGGACACCAAGGGGCACUCAAGACCAUUGUAGAGGCAUGCAGGUAGCUGGGGGCUCUCGGGAACCAUGGGGGAAAAUCAGGACACCAAAGGGUGCUUGGUACAGCGGGGGGCUCAGGAUUAUUGUGGGGAUUCAGAAAGAGCAAGUUCAAGGCUCAACCUCAGGGCAUGUGCAGCUGGUGUGAAAAGGGGCUGGAUGAGGCGUUUUGUGUGACCAUCAUGUUUCACCACCAGACACCCUCCACUACAUCUGUUCUAAUGCAUGUGAGUGUUUGAUUAGAAAAUGAUAUUUAUAUAAAUAUAUAACCAUAGCUAGGUGUGUCAAGUUGUCCUCUCCAUCUUAUAUCAGCCUUGUCUGUAAGGACUAAUUCCCCAUAAUUACUUGAGAACCUCAUAAAUUGUGGUCAAUCAUGUAGGAUUCCUCUCUUUUUCUGCCUUCCUUCCUCCCUCCUUCUCUCUCUCUCACACAGAAACCUAUAUACAGCCACCCCACAACACACAUAAAUCUAUAACUUUUAUUACCUGAUAUAUUGAAAAGUAAUCUAAAGUUACAUAAAAAUCAGUAGUUCACUGUCAAUAUUGUAGGAGAAGGGAAGGUCUAGGAAGGAGGAAUUACAGAAGAAGAGGAUAUUUUGACGGUAAUUGACUUGUUAUCUAUGUGGAUAAUGAUAAUGUCUAUGACCAUAUUUGUAAAAUUGAACACUUCAUGUGGAGAUUAUUAUUUUUUGAUUUAACCCCAUGCCAUUAUUUUGCCGUAUUCUAGCAUUUCUCUAAAAAUACAGAAAUGUUCAGCACUCAUUCAUGUGUAUAUUCAGGAGUCUGUGACUGUUCAUGUAUUUUAUUUAUCUCUGUCUAAUUGCUUUGAUACCAAAUUUUACCUAGUAUAAUUAGUACUACCUUUAGCACUGAUUAUAAGCCUCACUCCUCCAUCAUCUCCUUUUUUGCCACACAAGCUGAAUCUAGUUUGGACUCACAGCAGCUUCUUCAUUCAAUGCCAGUGGGAGUUUCAAACCCUAUCAACCCCCCUAUAAACUGUCAUUAAGAAAGUUUAUCAAACUCCACCAGUCAUGUGAUAUUAGUUCGUUUUCACAAUGGUAUAAAGAACUACCUGAGACGAGGAGUUUACAAAGAAAAGAGGUUUAGUUGACUCACAGUUCUGCAUGGCUGGGGAGGCCACAGGAAACUUACAAUCAUGGUGGAAGGUGAAGGCGAAGCAAGGCACAUCCCACAGCGCAGCAGGAGAGAGAGGGGGAAGUGACACGUAGUUUUAAACUAUCAGCUCUUGUGAGAACUCACUCACUAUGAUGAGAACAACAUGGGAGAACUGCCCUCAUGAUCCAAUAACCUCUCACCUGGUCCCUCCCUUGACAUGUGGGGAUUAGAAUUUGAGAUGAUAUUUAGGUGGGGACACAAAACAAAUCUAUAGCACAUGUCCAGCUGUGUCCUGGAGUUGUUUCAGGGAUCCAGUGUGUCCUGUUGAUAGAAACAGUGAUCAUCAUUCUAACUGGUGUGAGAUGGUAUCUCAUUGUGGUUUAGAUUUGCAUUUCUCUGAUGGCCAGUGAUGAUGAGAAUUUUUUCAUGUGUCUUUUGGCUGCAUAAAUGUCUUCUUUUGAGAAGCAUCUGUGAAAAAAAAAAAAGAAACAGUGACACCAAGCUCACACCAUCCAUUGUAGUUGAGAACAUGCAAAGCCAAGAGAUCUCAACUGAGAUUUAGUGUUUAUGUCAUGUCUGAUGAAGUCAUAAGCUCAGAGCAAGUGAAUAUGGAAAAGUGUAUUAUCUGCACAGUAUAGGUGUCUGCUGAGUGCAGGGCAGGUCUCGCAGGAAAAUCUAAAAUGGCUUGAAAGAAGAGGAAAGGAGACUGGCUCAGGGUUUUUAUAAUGGUUUAGUGGUGGCGGCAGAGUGAGGCUUCCCACUCACAGAUCGGGGUUUAUAAGGUUUGAAACUCCCACUGACAUUGAAUGAAGAAGCUCCUGUGAGUCCAAACUAGAUUCACCUUGUGUUGCAAAAAAGGAGAUGAUGGAGGAGUGAGCCUUAAGUAAUCAACAGGCAUGCACCAAAAGAUAGAGUGACAACUUAUUCUAGGUAGCAAGAAUAAAAAUAAUGAAAAAGAAACAAAAUAAGGGUUCAGUAUGGGUGGACAAGACCCAGAUCCACAGAAAUGAGAUGACUUUAGAAAUAUAAGGAAAUAAUAAUGAGAAAAAGAAGGAGGGGAUGGGGAAUUAGGGUCCUGGCCUAAUGUCUUGGGUGGAAGCUUCUCACAAUCAAGGACUGUCAGCUUAUUCUGCAGGUCUUAGGUCAGACGUCUGCUUCAAAACAUCAGAAACUCCAGGCAAUCAAUGAGGAUGCUCAGUUUAACAUCUCCUAUUUGAGUAGAUUUACAGUUGUGUGGAAUUCUUAAUUGAUUCUUUUUUGUUUGUUUUUAGAGGCAGGCUCUCACACUGUUCCACAGCUUAAAGUACAGUUGUGUGAUCAUAGCUCACUGUAAUUGUGAGCUCCGGACUCACGUAAUCUUCCUGUAUUA